AUUGAACGCUGGCGGCAGGCCUAACACAUGCAAGUAGAACGAGUGGCGGACGGGUGAGGAAUGUCUGGGAAACUGCCCGAUGGAGGGGGAUAACUACUGGAAACGGUAGCUAAUACCGCAUACUAUCGGAUGUGCCAAGAUGGGAUUGGCUAGUAGGUGGGGUAACGGCUGCCCUAGGAGACGAUCCCUAGCUGGUCUGAGAGGAUGACCAGCCACACUGGAACUGAUACACGGUCCAGACUCCUACGGGAGGCAGCAGUGGGUAAUAUUGCACAAUGGGCGCAAGCCUGAUGCAGCCAUGCCGCGUGUAUGAAGAAGGCCUUCGGGUUGUAAAGUACUUUCAGCGAGGAGGCGUUACUCGCAGAAGAAGCACCGGCUAACUCCGUGCCAGCAGCCGCGGUAAUUC
rnacentral:rRNA from 1 species